rnacentral:misc_RNA from 1 species
CCUUUUAUUCAGCAUGGGAGCCUACAGUCCGCUGUAGUCCCCUGUCUGUAUCCGUGUCUUUUGCGUACUUGAACGUUUCCUCGGCGGCUUACCCCGCCGAACGGACAACUAUAUAACCUUUUUGCAAUUGCAAUCAGCGUCUGAACAAACACAAUAUUUA